UAGUUGGUAAGGUAACGGCUUACCAAGGCGACGAUCAGUAGCCGACCUGAGAGGGUGAUCGGCCACAUUGGAACUGAGACACGGUCCAAACUCCUACGGGAGGCAGCAGUGGGGAAUAUUGCACCAUGGGCGAAAGCCUGAUGCAGCAACGCCGCGUGAGUGCUGAAGGCCUUCGGGUCGUAAAACUCUGUCCUCAAGGAAGAUACUGACGGUACUUGAGGCGGCAUCCCCGGCUAACUAUGUGCCAGCAGCCGCGGUAAUACGUAGGGGGCUAGCGUUAUCCGGAUUUACUGGGCGUAAAGGGUGCGUAGGCGGUCUUUCAAGUCAGGAGUGAAAGGCUACGGCUCAACCGUAGUAAGCUCUUGAAACUGGGAGACUUGAGUGCAGGAGAGGAGAGUGGAAUUCCUAGUGUAGCGGUGAAAUGCGUAGAUAUUAGGAGGAACACCAGUUGCGAAGGCGGCUCUCUGGACUGUAACUGACGCUGAGGCACGAAAGCGUGGGGAGCAAACAGGAUUAGAUACCCUGGUAGUCCACGCUGUAAACGAUGAGUACUAGGUGUCGGGGGUUACCCCC
rnacentral:rRNA from 1 species